rnacentral:rRNA from 1 species
CAGCAGCCGCGGGAAUACAGAGGGUGCGAGCGCUAAUCGGAUUUACUGGGCGUAAAGCGUGCGUAGGCGGCUUCUUAAGUCGGAUGUGAAAUCCCUGAGCUUAACUUAGGAAUUGCAUUCGAUACUGGGAAGCUAGAGUAUGGGAGAGGAUGGUAGAAUUCCAGGUGUAGCGGUGAAAUGCGUAGAGAUCUGGAGGAAUACCGAUGGCGAAGGCAGCCAUCUGGCCUAAUACUGACGCUGAGGUACGAAAGCAUGGGGAGCAAACAGGAUUAGAUACCCCAGUAGUCCCUGUCUCUUAUAC